UACGGAGGGUGCGAGCGUUGUCCGGAAUCACUGGGCGUAAAGGGCGCGUCGGCGGCUUGCACAGUCAGGCGUGAAAUUCCUGGGCUCAACCUGGGGACUGCGCUUGAGACGUGUGGGCUUGAGUGGGGAAGAGGGUCGUGGAAUUCCCAGUGUAGAGGUGAAAUUCGUAGAUAUUGGGAAGAACACCGGUGGCGAAGGCGGCGACCUGGUCCUUGACUGACGCUGAGGCGCGAAAGCGUGGGGAGCAAACAGG
rnacentral:rRNA from 1 species